GUCCAUGGACGCAGUCUGAUGCAGCACGCCGCGUGAGUGAUGAGGCUCUUCGGGUUGUAAAGCUCUGUUGUUAGGGAAGAUCAUGAGCGUAUUGAAUGAGCAGGCACCUGCUCAGUCCCUGACAGCAACCGCGGUGCUACUUACGUGCCAGCUACCGCGGUAUAAAGG
rnacentral:rRNA from 1 species